rnacentral:lncRNA from 1 species
GGCGGUAUUGCUAUCUAUCUUCCAUGAGGUUAACAUAUGUGUGUGGGGGGUCUUCUAGCUCACCUUAAUUGGGCAAAUACAAAAGGGAAAAUCAGUGUCACAUGUUGAUACACCUGCAGAGCACAUGAUGAAGAUGUCAGGGAGCCAAAAUUAGGUUUGAUUUUGUAUAGAAGAAGGAUGAAAAAGGUUGAGAAAGGAGUGGGUCCCACAUUGGUGUAAUGUAAUUAGUAUCUAAAAAGAAAAAGGAUGAGUUUGUAGGAGGCACGUGGUAAGGAAAUGGUUAAUUAAAAAUGCAUCAUGAGUAGACGCGCUGAGAAGCCAUUGAUGAUUUGUGGAGUUGAGUUUUUAUGGUUGGAGGCGAUGAAGCACUAGCAAAAUUUGCCACCCUCAAAGCAAAUGUAGGAACAUUAAGAAACAGAGGAUGCCAGACUUGAGAAAUGAAGGCGGGGACCAUCUUAUAUUAGGCCUAUUUAAAUCUUUUAUUCUUUCCAUUUCAGGCGCAAACCUAGUUUACUCAAACUACAAUACGUAGAUCUAUCUAUUUAUUGGUUCCUACCACAACCACAUUAGCUUAUAGGCCCAAUCGUUGGACAUCCCAAAAUCACCCAUGCUCCUCUGCCCCUAUUUCUAGCUUUUGAGAUUACAAAUGCACCAAAUCCACCACCACACCACACCUCUUUCUUACCCUAACUGGAACAAAACACAUGCCAACACUCAUACCAUUUUUAACAUCAUUUUCACCACUUUUCACCUCAUCAAACUCAUACUUUUCUGCGCUCUUCUUUCCUAAUUUAUUAUUAACUAUUUCAAAAAAUUUUAAUUAUAGUACAAUGCCUGCCGUAUAUCUAUCCGUAUUUAUUUAAUAUUUAUACAAAAGAUUAUCAAAUCUCUCCGUAUUGCCACGGCACCCGG